AACGAACGCUGGCGGCAGGCCUAAACAUGCAAGUCGAGCGGGCAUAGCAAUAUGUCAGCGGCGGACGGGUGAAUAACACGUGGGAACAUGCCCUUUGGUACGGAACAACUCAGGGAAACUUGAGCUAAUACCGUAUGUGCCGGUAACGGGAAAGAUUUAUCGCCAAGGGAUUGGCCCGCGUCCGAUUAGCUAGUUGGUGAGGUAACGGCUCACCAAGGCGACGAUCGGUAGCUGGUUUGAGAGAACGAUCAGCCACACUGGGACUGAGACACGGCCCAGACUCCUACGGGAGGCAGCAGUUGGGAAUC
rnacentral:rRNA from 1 species